rnacentral:rRNA from 1 species
AACGAACGCUGGCGGCAUGCCUAACACAUGCAAGUCGAACGAAGCCUUCGGGCUUAGUGGCGCACGGGUGCGUAACGCGUGGGAAUCUGCCCUUAGGUACGGAAUAACUCAGGGAAACUUGUGCUAAUACCGUUUGAUGUCGAGAGACCAAAGAUUUAUCGCCUAGGGAUGAGCCCGCGUAGGAUUAGCUAGUUGGUGGGGUAAAGGCCUACCAAGGCGACGAUCCUUAGCUGGUCUGAGAGGAUGAUCAGCCACACUGGGACUGAGACACGGCCCAGACUCCUACGGGAGGCAGCAGUGGGGAAUAUUGGACAAUGGGCGAAAGACCUGAUCCAGCAAUAGCCGCGUGAGUGAAGAAGG